ensembl:lncRNA
UGUAACUGUAAUCAGUAAUAACAUUAGAUAUAAGUUAGGAUAGGAUAGAAGUUAUUAUGUAUUGAAGUUUCAUUUGUGUUUACCUCGAUUUUAUUUUGAAAGUGGGCUUAUUUUGAAGGCGCUUUAAGAAGCCCGAGGGAAAACGAAACUUAGGCAGAAGCGAAGAUGUAACUAUUGAUGUUAGACAUAAGACUUGGUUGAUAUUGAAGUAUCUUAUUGUCAUGUUUCACGCCAUCUGUCACAUCCGGUUUUAUUUUGUUAACUUCCUGUUCACCCAGUCGUCACUCUCCGGUUCCCAGUAUCCACACCUGUUACCAAUCAGUAAUCAGUACCAGUAUAUAGUCUCACCACUCACAGACCCCAGUUGCCAGAUCGUUGAUUCCUGACUCUCACGUUCCCGCAGUUCCUAGUUCUGGGUACACUGGCAUUGACCAAGUUCCGUACUUCUGACCAUCGUUCUCGCCUGAUCCUUACCGACCCUGUAAGUCUUCGCUCCGUUAUUGACCACUGCCUGUUUUAUGACCUGUCUAAGCCUGCCGAUUUGGAUUCUGAGACCUGAGCCUUUUCCCGUAUUGACACCUGCCUGUUACCGGACCCGAGUAAGCUAUUUUCCUUGUGUGCUGAAAGACUGUUAACCUGUGUAUGAUCUGGACUUCCUUGUGACUUCGUUUCUGGAAUAAACCCACCUUUUUUCACCAUCUGCAUCGUGUCCUGGCGCUGUGCAUUUGGGUCCUUUAUAUGCCGUUCGUGACAGAACGAUCUGGCCAGCCUUGGACCCAGCCAGCGCCAACCUGCACCCAGGUCUGUUACGAGUUUUGUUCCCGUAUUUUCCUUUUUUUUUUCUCCGUUUGUUUGGCUCUGUGCGCAAGUCACUCGCCGGAGCAAUGGAGUUUUCAUGCCCGAGUCUGCCGGUGGAUAUUCGCGGAGACCUAGAGAGGUUCGCUAAGGCAUACGCGGAAGCGCACAGCCUUGAGGACAGUCUCCGCCACGUAAAGCAGGGCAUCGAAUUGCUGACGGCUGAGUUUUGGUGGCGUGCGUAUCCCGGAGUGCAGAUGUACUACGAGAGACUUCAUUCGCUGCAGAGGGAAUUGGCGUGCGCGCUGCACGCAUCGUCCGCCUGUGUCUCCGCAGCUGCUCCUACCGCUGUUUCAUCGCUUUACGUUCCCGUUCCUGUUCCUGUCGCCGCUCCGGUCGCCGCUCCGGCGGUUCGCGUUUCCAGCUCAGCCUCCAACCCAGUCGUGCUCUGUUCAGUCCCAGUCCAGCCGCGCGCUGUUCAGUCUCCAGUCCAGAAGCGCGCUGUUCAUGCUCCAGUCCAGUCGAGCCCUGUUCAGUCUCCCGUCCAGUCGAGCCCUGUUCAGUCUCCAGUCCAGUCGAGCCCAGUUCAGUCUCCAGUCCAGUCGAGCCCAGCUCAGUCUCCAGUCCAGCCGCGCGCUGCUCAGUCUCCAGUCCAGCCGCGCGCUGCUCAGUCUCCAGUCCAGCCGCGCGCUGCUCAGUCUCCAGUCCAGUCGAGCCCUGCCCCGGUUCUAGCACAGUCGAGCCCUGCCCCGGUUCUAGCACAGUCGAGCCCUGCCCCAGUUCAGUCCAGUCACGUUCCUGUCCCAGUUCAGUCCAGUCACGUUCCUGUCCCAGUUCAGUCCAGUCACGUUCCUGUCCCAGUUCAGUCCAGUCACGCGCAGGUCUUGUCCCAGCCAGAGGGCACCACCUGUCGGACAGGUGCUAUGCACGCCCGAUCAGGCCCGACGUCUGCUCCGUCGAGCUUGGCAGCGGCAAGUAGCCAUGCCAGCUCCAGAGGAGACGCCGUUUCAGUCCUUGCCGGCUCCACUGAGGAGCCUGAGAGCAGCGCCGCCGGCUCUAGUGAGGAGCCUGAGGGCAGCGCCGCCGGCUCUAGUGAGGAGCCUGAGGGCAGCGCCGCCGGCUCUAGUGUAGAGCCUGAGGGCAGCGCCGCCGGCUCUAGUGUAGAGCCUGAGGGCAGCGCCGCCGGCUCUAGUGUAGAGCCUGAGGGCAGCGCCGCCGGCUCUAGAGUAGAUGCCGUUCCUGUCCCUGUCGGCCAAGUAGAUGCCGUUCCUGUCCCUGUCGGCCAAGUAGAUGCCGUUCCUGUCCCUGUCGGCCAAGUAGACGCCGUUCUUGUUCCUGUUGGCCAAGUAGAGGUCGUCCCAGUCCCUGUCGGCCAGGUAGAGGUCGUCCCAGUCCCUGUCGGCCAAGUAGAGGUCGUUCCUGUCGGCCAAGUAGAGGUCGUUCCUGUCGGCCAAGUAGAGGUCGUUCCUGUCAGCCAAGUAGAGGUCGUUCCUGUCGGCCAAGUAGAGGCCGUUCCUGUCGGCCAUGUUGAGGCCGUUCCUGUCGGCCAUGUUGAGGCCGUUCCUGUCGGCCAUGUUGAGGCCGUUCCUGUCGGCCAUGUUGAGGCCGUUCCUGUCCCUGUCGGCCAUGUUGAGGCCGUUCCUGUCCCUGUCGGCCAUGUUGAGGCCGUGCCAGUCCCUGUUCCUGUUCCUAGGUCUGCAAGGGGUGUCCUGCUGAUGGAGGGACCGGUGCUACCGGGAAGUGGUUCCGUCACUCCCAAGUGGGAUGCUCUGCAGUUUUAAUUGCAUUAGCCAUACACACUCGUCCAGGAUUCGGGGGGCUCCUUCUGGGGGGGCCAGUAGAUGGAGCCUUCCCAUUGAUGGCUCUGUCUGCUGGACCCCUCGGAGAAUUGGCUAUCUCCUAAAGUUCCUCAUACUUAGCCACAUACACAUACAUUUAGGGCCGGGGGUGGGCUCUUUCACUGGGGCCUGGGGCUGAGGCCAGUUGUGGCCUCGCCCACUGGCCCUGGCGGAGAGAUCAACCCCCCAGUUUUAACUGCAAAAAGACAUUUAGGGUGAGGGGGUGCACUGUCCGAGGGACACACCGUCAGCCAGCGACGUGGUAGCGAGAAUGUAUCUUAGAGUUCAUUGGUUCACGUAUGAUUGACUAGUUUGUUGUGAGAGAGUUUAUGGUGUGUGUGUGAUGAUGUGUGUUGUACAUGUGGAUGGGUGUAUGCGUCUGUGUUUGUGUGAGUUUGUGAUGCGGUUGGAGUGUGGGGGGUCCAGUUUUCCGCCCGGGGUACGAUGAUCGUCUGCCUGGGUGGUCUCUUUUCUGCUCACCCCCACCAAUUGCUGGCCUUGUGCUGCAGGCCGGUGUGGCGCCAGGGGAUUAGGGCCGAUGGGGUAGGCCCCGCUCCGCUCGUGUGUGGGGGUGGUGGACUGGGGGCGGGUCCCACUCUGGGCGCGGGGGCAUCUCCUGGCGGGCUCCCUACAGACCGUGGGUCCUCGGGCUGCACUCUUUCAGGCCGACCUUCCCACUGGGGGGAGUGUUUGCCCCUGGUUCUCAUGGGGCGGACAGCGUUGACCCCCGGUGGCCCACUCUGACCUUACUGUCUCUGUGGCUGCUGCAGCUCUGCCUGGGGGGCUCUGUGUGGGCGGCUUGGGUCGCAACACCUGCCCUCCUGGAACUGAAGGUGUGUGGGCUCCCUGGCUGCUCAGAUUCUUUCCUCUGCUUGUUGGAUGGGCGUAGUGGCCGAGCCCCUCACAUCACCCUGGCUUCCACAAGUGGCAUUGUUCAUGUCAG